GGGACUGCCAACCUGGUGAGGGAGAAGACACCUCUUACUGUAGUGUCAUUAAGGGUGUAUUAGGAUAGAGAGAUAUGCUAAGAUCCUUCUCCCCAGAAAAC